CAUAUGAGAGAGAGAGAGAGAGAGAGACUUGGGAGGCAAGGGUGGGAGGGUAUUAAUAUGGAUUUAGCUGGGGUCCAUAUUCGGAGCAGACACAGCCACGCGGGUAACAAGAAAUAGAGCUCAAAAUGAACCUCCAUCGAUCCUAUGUCUGCUUACUAGAAGCUUUAUUUUGUUAUGGGACCUAUCGUGGAUUCUGGACGAACAUGAAGUAUGUAGCAAACACACAGUGGCAAUUUUCCUAGCAUGCAGCUUAAACUUGGAUUCAGGCAAGUCUGACUUCCAUCGGUCACAGUAACAAUGCUGUAGCCAUGUGAAACAGCGAACAAGAUCUAGAUCAUGCUAGGUUAGGUUAGGUUAUUGUAACUUGGAAGUAUGUGUCCCCUCUUUGUUUUGUAUGGACUGGCACUGAAUUUUCUAUAGCUGAAAGGGUUUUCUGAAGAUCUCUGGCAGUAGGAUACUUAUCUUUCUCCAAGACCCAUACAGAAAGAUUCAGAGAACUCAUGUUGCAUAAAGAAAUGCUUGGGCUGAGAGGUUGCUGACUGACAAUCUUGGCUGUUUGUAGCAAAGUUUUCUUGCAUGCUAUUUUGUUAGCCUGAUGAAGCAAGCAACCAAUGGUAGUCCUUUGAAAAGGUA